rnacentral:lncRNA from 1 species
AUGUGGGGCUUGAUCCCUGGGAUGCUUAACCCACUGAGCCACCCAGGUGCCCUGGGACUUAGUGAAAUCCAUACUCUGCCACACCGAGGCCGGGCAAGGAGUCCACGGGGCACCGCAAGCUGCUCAUGUGUAAAGCCGGGUUUUAAAGCUCGGCUCUUCAAUCUCCCUGAUCUCUCAGUUACCUCCCUCCUGCGGUUUCCUAUUCCCUUGGCAGAGUCUUUUUUUCACGUUCUAGCUCCCCUUCAGCAGACUCUGGACCUCACCUGGGAAGAUGUUUGGGGCCAGCAUGUGAGGAGAAGUGCAGCCCUCCCAGGGGACCACCAUGGAGGGAGGUGUGGUGGUCUUCAGACCCCUCCCAGGACAAGUGUGGUUAUACCGGGGACCACCUCAUCAUGCAAACCAGGACCUCUCCUCGGCCAAAUGGAAAUUCGAUGAAUCACCUGAGCUUUGACAGCAGGGAGAUCUGGGGUCAAGCCCCUGCUCGUCCGCUUCCUUGUAGAAUGGCUUUGAUGGAGCUUCCUGAACCUCCAUUUUCUUGUCUGUGAACUAAGUAUAGUAAUAAUACCCACUUCACAGAGUUGCUGGGGUUAGUCCAAAAUAAGCCCUUGAUUAAAGUUAGCUAUUACCAUUAGUAGCUUUGAUUAAUGAAAAAUGGGAAACUGAUUCAUUUAACAAAAAUAGCACAUGGGGCGCCUGGUGGGCUCAGUCAGUAGAGGGCGCCACUCUUGAUCGCAGGCUCACAAGUUCAAGCCCCACUUUGGAUGUAGAGAUUACAUAAAAAAUACAAUCUUAAAAAAAAGAAAAGUAUCCCAUAGGUCGGCAAAAAUCUCCCAAAGCUAAUAGCCUGGAGAUGGGUUGAUUCUUUACACCAGGUGACAGCGAUGUUUUGAUUUUCUGUGUGACAGUGGAGGGGACCUAUGUGAAUGAUUAAAAUUUAAUUGAAACACUUUCAUUUCAUUCCCUUGGGCUGACUAUGCAUGUCCUCUGGUGUCGUAAAACAAGCUCAGGACCAUGGUGCAGGCUGCGUGCCCCGUGGUGACCUCUUUCCAAGCCACCUCUGUGUCCUCUAGAUGGAAAGCUGUUGAUUGAAAAGGGCAGAACAAUUCCCUCUGUCAGGAUGGCUGCAGAUCACAUUCAAUCAGGACAGCAUUCUAUUGAUUCAAAAGACACACAUACGCGUACACACACACACACACACACACUUCCCAGCCGGUGACACCGGUGACCUGGGCAGAAUGGGGGAGAUCAUCAGAGGCCAGUGUACCUGGGAGGAAGGUUUCAAUCACACCACCACCCAGUGGUGGGUGGAAGUAAGGAGGGCAAAUGAAGCCCCUUUUAGGAUAUUGCUUAAUUCUCAAUAACCUCACGGCUACUCUUUGUUCUUGGAGGUCUUUCUCAGCAAAUAUGUGGAACUCAUGGUUUUUCUUCUUGUAAAAAACUACCGUGAACCUCAAAGUGCUCAAAAAAUAAAGAC